UUCUAUUAGAAAUUAUUAAUAGUACAAUCUGCUCAAUGAACCAUUAAAUAGCCGCAAUUAUUUCUGUGCUAAGGUAGCAUAAUCAUUUGUCUUUUAAUUGAAGACUAGAACAAAAGAUUUAACAUUUUAAUUAAUUUUUUUUAAAAAGAAAAUUAAAAUUUUUUUUAAAUGUAAAAAACCAUUUAUAAAAUAGGAAGACGACAAGACCCUAUUGAACUUAACUUCAGUUAAACUGGGGCAGUUAAUUAAUUAUUAUUUUAAUAUUAUUAAUAAUAAAAAUUGAUCCAAUAAAAUUGAUCACAUAAUCAAGUUACCAUAGGGAUAACAGCGUUAUAAUAAUUUUAAGUUCUUAUUUAAAUUAAAUUCUUGCGACCUCGAUGUUGAAUUUAUUACCUAAUAGAUGCAAUAAUUUAAUCUAAGGAAGUCUGUUCGACUUUUAAAAAAUAACA
rnacentral:rRNA from 1 species